GGGGGCGUAGCUCAGUUGGGAGAGCGCUUGGUUCGCAUUCAAGAGGUCAUGGGUUCGAAUCCCACCGUCUCCA
rfam:Pelosinus sp. TFO1, complete genome.